AGUUUGUGUAAAAGCCAUGUUGAAUAUUUUACCGAAGAGGUUGUUGACAUUGAUGUAGAGUGUCGAGGGUUGAAGAUGGUGGACAGGAACAGUGACUCAUCAGAAUCAAAUGAAAACAGUACUGAGGUCAAUAACAAAUCAAAAGAGACCUCUUUCAUGAAAUCACCAAAUGUGGAAAGCAAUUCAACAGAAUUAUUGGAGGAGUUUCCCAAUGUACAAAAGAAGCAAUGUUUUAUGUGUCUUCGCAUCAACACUAUGAUAAUUCAAGAGCUUAACACAAAUGAGCAAUGAAACUUCUGAAAAGCCAAGCUUGAUGUUAUCAUUGAAAUCCCACAUUCUGAUGACAAAAGAUGAUAUUAAUUUUACUUUUUUUUAUAUAUAAAGGUGAGGGGACCUGGUGUUCUUGACUGUUCAUUACACUGUA